rnacentral:lncRNA from 1 species
UUAGACAGACAUCAUUAUCAAUUUGAAUGCACACCUUCAUUAACAGCAGGGCAUUGACCUGCAGUCUGAACACGAGGCCUUCUUGGUUGGUCACUGUGGAAACAUCCCCGUCUUUGUAGUGGACUACCCCAAGAAUAUCAAACCUUUCUAUGCUAGGCUGAAUAGCGAUGACAAAACGGCGGCAGCUGUAUAUCUAUUGGUUCCAAGAGUAGGCGAGUUGAUCGAUGGUGGUAGCUUGAGAGAGGAACGUCUUGAUGAACUCCAGCAUAGAAUAAAGCACCUGGGACUACAGGAUUCUAAUUACCAAUGGUAUCUGGAUUUAAGACGCUGUGGACCAGUUCCCCACGGUGGCUUUGAGCGCCUGCUACAGUACUUGGUGUGGACCACAUACGAGAUGUCAUUCCCUUCCACGAUUCCCCGGCUCCUGCCCUCUCUGAUGGUAGCUCCGCGCAGCUGUCAAAUUUCAUUAUGGGGACGUCUUCCGAUCGUGGUGUAGUGAUGCUGAUCUUACCCGACUGCUAAGAAAGGAUGAUGAAUGUCUGCUAGCAACCAGAGGACAUAUGGCUUUGCAUCCUUGCAGAGGGACCUGGACAUGAGGAUCAAGGAAACCAGGAAGGGGGGUGUUUCACAAAGAUUUAAGUGUGACUUAUGGGGUGUUGCAAGAAACUUGCAGUUGAUCGCAAGAUAACUUUAGGCCCACGAAUCAAUGGAAAGUCACCCUUUUCAUUGCAAUUUUGCAAUGAUUGCAAAUAUUUCCCUGCAACACCCCCUAAGAGUCGCACUUAAAUUUCAGUUACGCCCUUUACAUGCACUACCGUGUGCCAGCGUUUAAGCAUGUCUCCAAGUCACUCUUCUCUUUUGGGAACUGCCCAUCAUGACCUAAGACCUCGCAUCAAACAUAGGAAUCUGGGUUACGAAGAUCACUGCCCUACCAUUGCACGCUACCUCUGAGAAUGUUUCUUGGAACAAAUAGUUAUUUUCACUUAUUUUUACUGACUAAUUCUCUCUAAGCCAAGCAGAUACAAGGAAUUUGGUAGCUUAUAACAGUCAGUAAAGCCCAAGCGCACACUAUGCGAUCCGAUACAAUGCAGUUUUUUAAUGAAUCACAUUUUGCAUUAGAUAUGAAAGUCCCAAGGAGCAAAAGUAUUUCAUUUGAAGUCAGGCAUAAUGUUAGGAAUAAUAAAAUUAUCAUAUUUGCUUUGCGGCAAGCCCUGCGGUCGGAGUAAUGUCUAAGUUGGCUUCAAGUCGCAGCCGAUGAUCACAUCAUUACGAUUUGGAAUUGAAUUAGCUUUUAUUUCUACAAGGAGGCUCAAACUGGACUGAAUUUUGAUUUCAAUUUUGAUAUCAACUAUUCUGAACUCUACUCGUUAAGACUUCAUUGGUUGGAAUGUUCAUAUCAAAUUUUGUUGGAAUUUUCUUUGAAAUUCGGAUUGCAACAAAUCAUAUAGUGUGCGCUGGGCUUUCGAGUCACUAUGUAUUACAUGGCGUGCUCCCCUGAUAUACCAUAUUUUAUCAAUGGGUUAUUAUCUAAUAUAUUAUCCAAAAACUUGACAAUUAUGAGGUCAGUAUGGUAAGGUCCCCUAAUUCUGCGCAGGCCCCUUGUUUGCACACAAGCGUAUCUGCGCGAUUCUAGCAAAAGAAGAUACAUGACGACCACAGACUUUACACGACUUUACAAUACAUAGAAAGAUAUUCAUUAAAAAAUCUGACUCAAAAUGAUGGAAAAACAAUGAUUUGGGGGGCAUUUCAUGUGACGACCUCCAAAUGCAGCCUUUUUCAUAUAAAUCCCUGAAAUUGUGUGUAAAGUGAAUGGGUGCACAGACAUGCGGCUCCAGUGUUUUGUUUAAUCUGAAAAUGACUUGCCGAUGUUUUUUCCAAGAAAAUCAUAUAUUUCUCUCAAAUUCCUUUGAGAUUUCAACUGUAAAUUUUCUUGAAAAUAAAUAAAAAUCAUGAUUGAUAUUAAUCUAAAUUUUUAGGUGCGCAGACAUGGCUCUACCCC